rnacentral:rRNA from 1 species
UACGAAGGGGGCGAGCGUUGUUCGGAUUUACUGGGCGUAAAGGGCGCGCAGGCGGCGCAUUUUGUCAGGCGUGAAAGCCCCGGGCUUAACCUGGGAACUGCGUUUGAUACGGAUGGGCUAGAGUUCGGGAGAGGAGAGUGGAAUUCCCAGUGUAGAGGUGAAAUUCGUAGAUAUUGGGAAGAACACCGGUGGCGAAGGCG